UCCACUGAACCUUAUCAUUUAGAGGAAGGAGAAGUCGUAACAAGGUUUCCGUAGGUGAACCUGCGGAAGGAUCAUUGUCGAUGCCUCGCAAUCAACACGACCCGCGAAUUUGUUUGACUACUGGGGCGGCUCAGGCGUGUAACUCCUGGUCACCCUCGUCGGGAGGCGCCCGCCCCGUGCGGUUGCCUCCUGGCCAAACAACAAACCCCGGCGCUACAUGCGCCAAGGAACACCGAAUUGUUUAGUGCGCUCCCGCCGGCCCGGAGACGGUGCUCGUGCGGCGGGCGUCGCGACAUAUGUUAUCCAAAAUGACUCUCGGCAACGGAUAUCUCGGCUCUUGCAUCGAUGAAGAACGUAGCGAAAUGCGAUACUUGGUGUGAAUUGCAGAAUCCCGUGAACCAUCGAGUCUUUGAACGCAAGUUGCGCCCGAAGCCAUUAGGCUGAGGGCACGCCUGCCUGGGUGUCACACAUCGUUGCCCCAACGCCAUUUCCUCUUGCUAGGUCUUGGGCGGGGCGAAUGUUGGCCUCCCGUGAGCCUCGUCUCGCGGUUGGCUGAAAAUACUGAGUUCGCGGUGGAGAGCACCACGAUAGACGGUGGCUGAGUCGAAGCUCGAGACCAAUCGUGCGCGUCUCUUCGCUGGGUUCGGACUCUGUGACCCACGGGGCAUCAUUCGAUCGCCCAUAACGGGACCUCAGGUCAGGCGGGGCUACCCGCUGAGUUUAAGCAUAUCA
rnacentral:misc_RNA from 1 species